UACAGAGGGGGCAAGCGUUAUUCGGAAUUAUUGGGCGUAAAGAGCACGCAGGCGGUUUGGCAAGUCGGAUGUGAAAACCCGAAGCUCAACUUCGGGCCUGCAUCCGAAACUGCCCGACUAGAGGUAGGUAGGGGAGAUCGGAAUUCCUGGCGUAGCGGUGAAAUGCGCAGAUAUCAGGAGGAACACCGGUGGCGAAGGCGGAUCUCUGGGCCUUACCUGACGCUCAGGUGCGAAAGCUAGGGGAGCGAACAGG
rnacentral:rRNA from 1 species